GUCUACAGCCAUGCCACCCUGACCAAGCCUGAUCCUGUCUGAUCUUGGAAGCUAUGCAGGGUAGGGCCUGGUUAGUACUUAGAGGGAGACUACCUAGGAAGACCAGGUUCUGUAGGCA
rnacentral:rRNA from 1 species